AGGGUCCUGAGACACACACGCAGAGACGCCCGCCGCCCCGAGGCCCACAGGCACCUCCACCGAACCCCUACCGCGGGGACACACACGGCGCCCCGCCAUCUCCCGGACGGCGCACCUCAGAGCGGGCAUGUGCGAGGUAGGCUCCAUGCCCAGUGUAGAACCCAACGCGGGGCUCAAUCCCACGACCCCGCGAACAUGACCUGAGCCAAAAUCAAGAGUCAGACGCUUAACCAACUGAGCCACACAGUACAACCAACUAUGACCACUGUGGCAGAGUUCUCCAACACCACCACUUCACCCGUGACUAGAAGCCAUUCCAUGAGACGGUCCACAGCUACCAGACGCAGCUCUUGACAAACCUUCCUGUGCUCUGGCCAGAGUCCUAUUACUCUGGCACUCCGGACCACAGUAAUAGACAUUUCUGCACCUGAAAGAUGAGCCCCAGAAACAGAUGUUCCUAUACCUCAAAGAAAAAAAAAUACCAGGAGCUUGCAGCUGCCCUCUUAUCACAGGUAUGGCUCAACCCCAAUCUCCCCAGAACAGACAUGAUCUUAACCCUUGAAUAUUCAAGAGGAAGGAGGUAGAGAAGAUUAUACAGUAGUACCCCCCUUCUCCACAGGGAAUAUGUUCCAAGACUCCCAGUGGAUGCCUGAACUCAUGGAUAGUACCAAACCCUAUAUAUACUAUGUUUUUUCCUACACAUACAUACCUAUGAUAAAGUUUAUAAAUUAAAGACAGUUAAAGAUUAAUGACAAUAACGUAAGACAAUUAUACUGUAAUAAAUGUUAUAUGAAUG